rnacentral:rRNA from 1 species
AGGACGAACGCUGGCGGCGCGCCUAAUACAUGCAAGUCGAGCGAGAACCGGGACUUCGGUCCCGGGGAGAGCGGCGAACGGGUGCGUAUCACGUGAGCAACCUGCCUCGGAGACCGGAAUAACUCGAGGAAACUCGGGCUAAUGCCGGAUGCCCUCGGUGGACCGCAUGGUCCGGCGAGGAAAUGGAUUCCGCUCCGAGAUGGGCUCGCGGCCUAUCAGCUUGUUGGUGGGGUAACGGCCUACCAAGGCGACGACGGGUAGCUGGUCUGAGAGGACGAUCAGCCACACUGGGACUGAGACACGGCCCAGACUCCUACGGGAGGCAGCAGUAGGGAAUCUUGCGCAAUGGGGGAAACCCUGACGCAGCGACGCCGCGUGCGGAUGAAGGCCUUCGGGUCGUAAACCGCUUUCAGCGAGGACGAAAUUGACGGUACCUGCAGAAGAACGGCCGGCCAACUACGUGCCAGCAGCCGC